rnacentral:lncRNA from 1 species
GAGGAUUAAGAGUAGAAUUCACUGCACUUGAUUGUAGCUGAGUAUCUUCCCAAACCAACAAUAGCUCCUCUGUAGAACGAACAAUCCUUUGAAAAACAUGACUCUUUCCAUUCCAUAAAUAAUUGUUCCUGUUGUUCCAUAAGGUCCAAAAAAUCAUACAUACUCUUCCCUGUAAAGAGGUAUUAGAUAAACCCAGUAUAAACUAAAAUAAAUCAGACAUGUUAGAAAUAGAUUGUAAGGGAAUAUGCAUAUCCACAAUCUGCAGUAGCUCUAGAUCAAAAAAGUAAAACAUGAGGAUCGUCUUCUACCAUGCCACACAUCUUACAACCUGAACUAACAUUCAAACCUCUAUCAAUUAGAUUCACAUUGGAAGGAAGGAUACCUCGUAAAGCUCACAACAUAAAGUUUCUAACCUUUGGUGGUACAUGCAACUUCCAUAACUUGUACCAUGAACCCUAGAUUCUCCUAAAGACCGGAUAAUAAAUGAUAACCUGAUUUAACAGAAUAUAUUCCAUUUUUUGUAUAGUGCCACACAAGAUUAUCAAUUUGCCUAGAGAAACUUAAAUGAAUAUGAGAAAUACAAUCCACAUCACUAGGCAAUAAGAGAUUAGAUAAUAAUUGUAGGUUCUAGCCUGUGCUAUUCUCAUUGAUCAAACUCGAGACCCUAAAAUCUUCCAAUCCCUCAAGACAUGGGCUGUCCACAAAAAAGCCAUUAUCCUUAUUAAGCCGUGGAUCACCCCAAACUUUGAUCAUUUGUCCAUUUCCUACUCUCCACCUGUUACCAAAAUUCAACAAAUCCUUGCCCUGCAAAAUACUCUUCAAGACAAAAUUUGGGUUAGACCCUUCAGUUGCAUCUAGAAAAUCCAUUCUAGGAAAAAAUUUAGCUUUGAGUAUACAAAAAUGAAAAUAGUCUUGAUUGGAAACUAAUCUCCAACCUUGCUUGAUAAGCAUAACUAAAUUAAAGAAUCUAAGAUUUCGAAAACCCAAACCUCCCUUAUCUUUACUAAGACACAUCUUAUCCCAUGAUAAUCAAUGAAUCCUUCUUUUAUCCUGACCUUGAGAACCCCACUAGAAGGAGUUUAUCAUCCUUUCCAAUUUGUCACAUAAGGAGACAGGUAUAACAAACAAACUCAUGACAUAGAAGGGAAUAGCUUGGGUUAUAGAUUUAAGUAAAAUUUCCUUAUCAGCUUCAGACAAAAUUUUGCCAUUCCAACAUUUAACCCGUUUCCAUAGUCUAUCUGUCACAGGCCCUAGUUUGUAAACGGGUAAGGGGUCUUUGGUCAGGUUGGAGGGAGGAAGAAGAAGGGUGUUUAUCCUUUUUUUCUACCUAUUUUGUAGACUUGAGAGAGAAUCUACAAUCUCUUGAGUUAAGUACUCAAAAACUGGGUUAAAUUUUUCUCCUUAUUCAAAAAACAGAAACAAACAUCUCCAAUUAAGGAGGGAUUAUCAACUAUCUUGAGGAUUAUCCUCCUAUUUCUACUCAACAAAAUAAAUAAAGAAUAAAAAUAUUAACAAGAAAAUAAUAACAGCAGCAGCACAAAUUAGUUGCCGGAUUUGUUCUUUACUCUCCAUUUGACUGAAUCUUCUUAGGUCCAUGGGUGAACCGUUUGUAGUGCUUAAGGCUAGUAACAUUACUCCCUCCGCUGACAUUGCGAUUGUCCUCAAUCGCGAAAUCUGGAAAUCGUUGAGACAAAUCAGCGUUAGUUUCCCAAGAAGCAUCUGCUGGUGAAGAAUGUUGCCAAUGAAUUAAAACUUCAGAUUUCCCAGCUCUGGUUUGAUGACCCAAAACUGCUUGAGGCUGAGGCAUUGCAGACACAGGUUCAAUGAGAGGAAGGGAAGGACGAUCAGUAGAGAACCCUGCAAUAUAAGCUUUUAAGGCAGACACAUGAAAUACAGGGUGGAUUCGAGCAUCUGUUGGUAAAUCCAAUUUGUAAGCCAUGGUUCCUACGCGCUGAAUGAUUCUAAAAGGGCCAUAAUAUUUCGGCAAAAGCUUCUGAUGACGCCUAUUGGCCAUUGAAACCUGUCUAUAGGGCUGUAGGCGAAGUAGGACCAUAUCCCCAACCUGAAAUUCCAGUGGACGGUGCUUUUUAUCAUAAACUGCCUUCAUUUUAGCUUGUGCCCGAAGUAGGUGCUGCCGAAUAGAACCCAAAACUUCAUCUCUGGUUUGGAGAGCUUGGUCAACUGCAUCAAUCAUUGAACUUCCAGGAGCAUAAGAUAGUAAACGGGGCGGCUGUCUACCAAAAACCACCUCAAAAGGAGUGGCAUGAAGUGAUGUGUGGUAACUAGUAUUGUAACAAUACUGUCCCCAAGAAAUCCAGUCCAUCCAUUUGGUUGGAUGUGCACUAGUGAAGCAUCGGAGAUACAUUUCAACUGUUCUAUUAACCACCUCGAACUGCCCAUCCGUUUGUGGGUGAUAAGCAGAACUAAAAGCAAGUUUAGUGCCACACAAACGAAACAAUUCAGCCCAAAAAGAGCUAGUAAAAGUUACAUCACGAUCGCUAACCAUGGACACCGGAAUCCCAUGUAUCUUGACAAUAUUAUCAAAAAACAGACGGGCAACACUCACAGCAGUAUAAGGAUGCGAAAGGGGCAAGAAAUGAGCAAACUUAGAGAAGCGAUCCACCACAACUAAUAGAACAUUUUUCCCUUUGGACAUGGGCAGCCCUUCGAUAAAAUCCAAAGAAAUAUCUGACCAAAUUUGGGAGGGAACUGAUAAUGGUUGUAGCAGCCCUGCAGGUAAAAGGUUUUCUGUUUUGUGACGCUGACAAAUGUCACAGGCACGGACAAAAUCACGCACAUGGGUCUUCAUCCCCUUCCAGUAAAAGUCUCUUGUAAUUCGAAACAAGGUCUUUUGAUACCCCUCAUGGCCCUGAUUAUGAAUGGCAGAAAUAAUAGCUUGAAUAGAUGGAGAAGAGGAAGGCAAAAAAACCUUGUUUUUGAAGAGCAGUAACCCAUCUGUUAGACACCAAGAAUUUGCAGCAGAGUUGUGCUGGACAAGAGAGACCCGCUGCUGAAUUUCGGAGGAAGUUUGAUGUUCACGUCUGAUUUCCUCAAAAAUUCCAACUUGUGGCAUUGAAAUGGCCAUAAGAGCAGCUGAAUCUUCUUCUCGUCGCAAUAAAGCAUCGGCCACUGUAUUCAAACGCCCAGACCUGUACUCAACUGUAAAAGAGAAACUCAAGAAUUUACUGAGCCAUUUCUGUUGGAUAGGGGAUAAUAGUUUUUGUUCUAACAAAAAUUUGAGACUGUAAUGGUCUGUGCGAAUAAGGAAGACACGUCCCCAUAGAUAAGAAUGCCAGUGUUUGACGGCUUUAACCAACCCAAUUAAUUCUUUCUCAUAAGCUGGAAGGGAGCGGUGCCUGGCUGCCAUCAUUCGACUGAAAUAGGCUACAGGUCUGCCAUUUUGCAAGAGGACAGCCCCUAUACCAGAAUCUGAGGCAUCACACUCCACAAUAAAGGGUUGAGCAAAAUCUGGAAGAGCUAAUACAGGGGUGGUAGUCAUCAAUUCCUUAAGCUUGUUGAAAGCUUGCACUGCUUCGUCUAUCCACUGAAAUGAUUUAUGUCGCAACAUGUUUGUAAGAGGAGCUGCAAUAAGUCCAUAAUUAUGAACAAACUUGCGGUAGUACCCUGUCAAACCCAAAAAACCACGAAGUCCUCUAACUGUUUUAGGCUGUGGCCAACUGAGCAUAGCCUGGAUUUUUGAUGGGUCUGCAUGUACACCUUCAGAAGAAAUCACAUGCCCCAAGUAUUCUAUCUGUGAUUGGGCAAAGGCACAUUUGGAUUUUUUUAAGAAUAACUGCUGAUUUUGCAGUACCUCAAAAACAAUCCGAAGGUGAUGGAGAUGCUCAAUCCAUGUUCUGCUAUAGACAAGGAUAUCGUCAAAAAAAACAAGAACAAACUUUCUUAGGUAUGGCUGAAAUACCUCGUUCAUAAGUGCCUGGAAAGUGGAUGGUGCAUUCGUAAGGCCGAAAGGCAUGACCAGGAAUUCAAAGUGGCCAUGGUGAGUGCGGAAUGCUGUUUUCUUGAUAUCUUGCAGAAACAUGAUAAUAGCCAGCAACUAGAUCCAACUUUGUGAAAUACCUUGCUCCUCCCAAUUCUUCAAAUAAUUCAUCUAUUACAGGAAUUGGGAACUUAUCUUUAACUGUAUGAGCAUUCAAUUCCCAGUAAUCCACACAAAGUCGCCAUGAACCGUCUGCUUUGGGAACAAGGAUUACAGGUGAUGAAAAAGGGGAUUGGCUAGGUCGAAUAAUUCCCUUCUUCAACAUCUCAGCACACUGUCUCUCGAUCUCAUCUUUCUGGCCAUGAGGGUACCUGUACGGCCGUACCACAACUGGUCUGGUGCCCGGUUCCAAAGGAAUUCGGUGAUCACAGAAGCGGCUUGGGGGAAGAGCUUUAGGUUCUUUGAAGAUGCCGGAGAAUUCGGUGAGAAGGUGUUGUAAUUGGGUUUCGACAUCCGGGAAGGAAGAGACUGAAUUUAGGCUUACGGGUUGUUUAAUGGCAAGAUUUUGGAUUCCCUGUAAUUCGAUAUUGGUGCCUGAAAUAGAGAAAGCCAUUCGCAUAAUAAAAAAAUACCAAAGAAUGGGUCCCAGAGUUUUUAACUAGCUGACUCCCAGUACCACAUCAAUACCGCUUAGAGGAAGGACAAAAAGGUCUAUUCCAAAAGGGUGGCCCCCCAUCUGUAACUCUGAAUUGCGACAAACACCAGAACUGAAUAUCUGUUCGCCGUUUGCAACUCGAACCCGAAGUCCGUCUUUCUUUUCAAUCUUCGGAUCCACCUGUUUAACAAUAUUGGCAGCCACGAAAUUGUGAGUACUACCAGAAUCUAUGAGAACGAGAACAGAUUUACCAUUCCAUUCAGCCAUCACACGCAUAGUUUGAGCAUUGUGGGUUCCUGUAAUCGCAUUCAAAGAGAUUUCUGGUGAUUCUUCGCCGGUGUCCAUGUCACUUUCACCAUCAUCAAGUUCAAUCCAAAAUAAUCUUUUGCAUUGAUGACCCCGAGAGAAGGGUUCAUCACAGUUAAAGCAAAGAUUUUUCUUUCGCCGUUCCUCCAUCUCUGCUGGACUCAACCGCCGAAUACUUCUGUUGCCCUUGGAUUCUAUAGGAGCCGUCACCGAACGAUUAGAAAACCGCGAUGGUAAUGGGGUUCUUUUCUCAUAUAACCGAGACAUGCUCAUAGCAGUCGCUAGAUCAGUUGGUUGAUGUAAUUCCACUUCCACUGCAAUGUGGUCUUUUAAGCCACUGAUGGUCUUUUGUUAGUUUUCCUGCUCGGGGAACUAGAAUCUCAAAUUGUGUCUAAUAAUCUGCCACUGAACCCACCUGCUUCAAUUUGGCUAACUCUCCCAGUUUAUUACUGCGGACUGGUGGUCCAAAUCAAAGGUUACACUGUUGUUUAAGCUCUUCCCAAGUGGGAUUUGGGUUUUCGUCGAAAAGCUCAUUCAGCCAAUACUGAGCAUUUCCCAUUAGAUGGUAAGAAGCUAGAGUAACCUUUUCCUCUUCCGGCGUGUUCUGGUGUUUGAAAAAAUGCUCACAUGGUUGCAGCCAGGCUAAGGGAUCCUCUUCGCCACUGAAUUUGGGAAAAUCCAGUUUACUGAAUUUUGGAAGGAUUGAUGAGCCUUCGAAUGUACCUGAAAUGCCUUUGUUUCUAGAAGGCCGAAUUUGACUGCUGGCCUCAACAUCUGGUCCAGAAUUAGAGUUAGAAACAUCACGGGCAAUGGCUUCUAAUUUUGCGUUCAUCUCAUCUUGCCGGUUCUUGUUGUUUGCUUGUUCUUCCAAGAACAUUGAAAGGAUUCGAUCCAGCUGUUGUUGAAUGGUUUCACCCAUUACACCUGGCUCUGAUACCAAGUUUUCACAAGCCCUGGUUGGAGGGAGGAAGAAGAAGGGUGUUUAUCCUUUUUUCUACCUAUUUUGUAGACUUGAGAGAGAAUCUACAAUCUCUUGAGUUAAGUACUCAAAAACUGGGUUAAAUUUUUCUCCUUAUUCAAAAAACAGAAACAAACAUCUCCAAUUAAGGAGGGAUUAUCAACUAUCUUGAGGAUUAUCCUCCUAUUUCUACUCAACAAAAUAAAUAAAAAAUAAAAAUAUUAACAAGAAAAUAAUAACGGCAGCAGCACAAAUUAGUUGCCGGAUUUGUUCUUUACUCUCCAUUUGACUGAAUCUUCUUAGGUCCAUGGGUGAACCGUUUGUAGUGCUUAAGGCUAUUAACACUAUCUUUAAAAAGAAAAAAAAAACGCUUUUUUUACUUCUACCAAUUAAAAAAGUCAAACCUAAAUAUCUCCCAUGAUCCAGAGGAUUAGUAACACCUAAAACUGAGCAAACAUAGGCUUUGUUGUCACUAGUGCAAUUGGAACUAAAGAAGAUACCUGAUUUGUUAAAAUUAAUGGCUUGACCAGAAGCACGCUCAUAAGUCACCAGGAUUUCAUUCACAUACCCACUUUCCAAAGCAUCUGCUUUAAAAAAUGAAAAACUAUUAUCAGCAAAUAACAGAUGUGAAACUGUAGAAGCCCUAGGACAUACCGUGUUCCAUAAAUUAAACCUCGUCGUUCAGCAUUGUGGAAAAGAGCUGAUAAGCCUUCUGAAUAUAAUAUAAAUAAAUAAGGGCUUAGAAG